AUAGAGUGCAGAUUGUCAUAAGAGAUACCCAGACAUGCCAGUUUGCAAAACAGUUCUCACCUUCACACAUGAAAUGUAUGUGCCUGUCUAUACUGUCUACAUCCUAUCUAUUGCUCCACAGAAUUUUAGUAGGUCAGCACACAAUAAUACAACUCAAUUUCACUUCCAAAGCACUCAUCUUUUGACAGAUGAUAUAUUAAAGUUUUCUCAAAGCACAGAAGUCAUCCCAAUAUGGAAAGUGUUAAAGCCAAACAAAUAAAAACAAAAACAAUCAAACAAAAAUCCCUCAAAUCUUGAAAUUAUCCUAUACAGAGAAUAGAAAUGCAGAUGGAACAGAUAUACAGGAUCUCCACAUAUCCCACCAGAAUAAAAGCAUCAAUCUAUGGCAGAAGGCUAGUCAUGGAAGCAAAUUUGUUCAGAUAACUGCCAAAACUGCCAGAUUAUAUGGAACACAUCCACCUAGUUGUAUUUUUUUCCCAUAAAAACACAUAUUUAUUUAUAAAAAUAUUUAUAUUGUUUAUAAAAUACGUUUUAUUUUCAAAGAAAGAAAGGAAGUUCUAACAGAGUAUGUAAGAUUGCCAUAUACGACACUUUGCUUAAAAUAAUUUAGAACGAGCUACUGUGUAUACUAACCUGAUGGGUCAUAGUUAGCAAAGCUAUCUGAGUGAUUUUCUUCUUGCUUAGAGACUGCCUGAAAUGAAGAAAAGAGAUAAUCACAUUAAAGAUUACGGCAUUCACAGUAUAACCGUUAUCUUCCAUGUCCACCUUUCAGGUUAUUACAACACCAAACAGAAGUUGUUUAAUUCACUUUUGGCUGUACUCACUGCGUUUGCUGGAUGAUCUGUAGCUAAACCAAAAUCACCAAUUUUCACGUGAUCGUUGGAAUCUAAAAAUAUGUUCACAGGUUUCAAGUCUCUGUGGAUCAUUCCCUUUUCAUGGAUGUAAGCCAACCCAUCUAAAAUUUCUCGGAAAAGCCUCCAAAGCCGACUGGUGUCCUCAUGUAAUCCUCGGUCAAUGGUAUCCCUCAAUGUGCUCUUUUCACAGUAUUCCAUCUGGAUGUACAGAUAAUGCACCGUUUGAAUGACUGGCGUUCUGUCUUCUUCUUCAUGGCUAUUCUUUUCAUUGCCUUCUUCAUCUGGAGAAUGACCUUUGCUGUUCUCAUCCUCGUUAUCAAAAACUAUUUCACUUUCAGAGUCUGUAGUUGGCAAAAACGAAUGUGAGAACACCCCAUCACCGUCGUCAUCGUCAUCAUCGCUGGACUCCUGAUCAGCUCCACUGAAUUUGUU
rnacentral:lncRNA from 1 species